rnacentral:rRNA from 1 species
GAGUUUGAUCCUGGCUCAGGACGAACGCUGGCGGCGUGCCUAAUACAUGCAAGUCGAGCGAAUCAUUAGGAGCUUGCUCCUUUUGGUUAGCGGCGGACGGGUGAGUAACACGUGGGCAACCUGCCUGUAAGACUGGGAUAACUUCGGGAAACCGGAGCUAAUACCGGAUAAUCCUUUUUCUCUCAUGAGUAAAAGCUGAAAGUCGGUUUACGCUGACACUUACAGAUGGGCCCGCGGCGCAUUAGCUAGUUGGUGAGGUAACGGCUCACCAAGGCGACGAUGCGUAGCCGACCUGAGAGGGUGAUCGGCCACACUGGGACUGAGACACGGCCCAGACUCCUACGGGAGGCAGCAGUAGGGAAUCUUCCACAAUGGACGAAAGUCUGAUGGAGCAACGCCGCGUGAGCGAUGAAGGCCUUGGUCGUAAAGCUCUGUUGUUAGGGAAGAACAAGUACCGGAGUAACUGCCGGUACCUUGACGGUACCUAACCAGAAAGCCACGGCUAACUACGUGCCAGCAGCCGCGGUAAC